UACAGAGGUCUCAAGCGUUUGUUCGGAUUCAUUGGGCGUAAAGGGUGCGUAGGCUGUGGGGUAAGUCUGGUGUGAAAUCCCGGGGCUCAACCCCGGAACUGCACUGGAUACUGCUUUACUAGAGCACUGGAGAGGGAACUGGAAUUUACGGUGUAGCAGUGAAAUGCGUAGAUAUCGUAAGGAAGACCAGUGGCGAAGGCGACUUUCUGGUCUGAUAACUGACACUGAGGUGCGAAAGCGUGGGGAGCAAACAGG
rnacentral:rRNA from 1 species